rnacentral:rRNA from 1 species
AUUGAACGCUGGCGGCAUGCCUAACACAUGCAAGUCGAGCGGAUGAAGGGAGCUUGCUCCUGGAUUCAGCGGCGGACGGGUGAGUAAUGCCUAGGAAUCUGCCUGGUAGUGGGGGAUAACGUCCGUAAACGGGCGCUAAUACCGCAUACGUCCUGAGGGAGAAAGUGGGGGAUCUUCGGACCUCACGCUAUCAGAUGAGCCUAGGUCGGAUUAGCUAGUUGGUGGGGUAAAGGCCUACCAAGGCGACGAUCCGUAACUGGUCUGAGAGGAUGAUCAGUCACACUGGAACUGAGACACGGUCCAGACUCCUACGGGAGGCAGCAGUGGGGAAUCUUGGACAAUGGGCGAAAGCCUGAUCCAGCCAUGCCGCGUGUGUGAAGAAGGUCUUCGGAUUGUAAAGCACUUUAAGUUGGGAGGAACGGAAGUAAGUUAAUACAUUGCUGUUUUGACGUUACCAACAGAAUAAGCACCGGCUAACUUCGUG